rnacentral:rRNA from 1 species
GAUGAACGCUCGCGGCAGGCCUAACACAUGCAAGUCGAGGGGUAGAAGGAGCUUGCUCCUUUGAGACCGGCGCACGGGUGCGUAACGCGUAUGCAAUCUACCUUGUACAGGGGAAUAGCCCAGAGAAAUUUGGAUUAAUGCCCCAUAGUAUAUAACCUUCGCAUGUUGGUUAUAUUAAAGUUCCAACGGUACAAGAUGAGCAUGCGUCCCAUUAGUUAGUUGGUAAGGUAACGGCUUACCAAGACGAUGAUGGGUAGGGGUCCUGAGAGGGAGAUCCCCCACACUGGUACUGGGACACGGACCAGACUCCUACGGGAGGCAGCAGUGAGGAAUAUUGGUCAAUGGUCGCAAGACUGAACCAGCCAUGCCGCGUGCAGGAAGACGGUCCUAUGGAUUGUAAACUGCUUUUAUACAGGAAGAAACCCUCCCACGUGUGGGAGCUUGACGGUACUGUAGGAAUAAGGAUCGGCUAACUCCGUG